rnacentral:sRNA from 1 species
ACGAGACACUUCGCCCCGUGGCGUCAUACGACCGAUAAAGUGGUCGUGGUCCGUCGCGGGGCUGCAGCCCCCCGCCGGACCGCCAAUGAUCAGCCAGCAGCCGCUGCAACCUCAGGGAG